AACGCACAUUGCGCCUUUUGGUAUUCCGAAGGGCAUGCCUGUUUGAGUGUUGUUAUUCUCUAUAUCUUAUGAUAUGUGUUGGCUGAAGUAUUUCGAUACUCAGCUUAAAAGGGUGAUUGUACCACGUCUAGGUUUAUCCAUCGUGAGAAGUACAUCUGAUCAUAUACUGUAUACCAGUAUGAUCAAACUCAACAUAACCUCAAAUCAGGUAGGACUACGCGCUGAACUUAA
rnacentral:misc_RNA from 1 species